ACUUCUGCUGAUUGAUGCAUCUCAUUCAAGUGGACAGAACCCUGGCUUGUAAUUCACUUCGGAAGGGUGAUUAAUACCUCUGAUGUGACAAUCAAGACCUUCCUGCAACAUACAAACUUGGAAUCACUUCAAAGGAGGAGAGGAUCCCCUUGCAAGAAAGCAACCAAAAGGAAAAGCCAAGGAAGCAGAAGAUUAAACAGCAGCUAAACUUGGCAAGACUCAGAAGAGAUGUGGCACAGUUACAAAUUUGUACUUGUUGCGUUCAUUAUAGAGGGAUCAACUUAUUCAGCACUGAAAUAUCUGCUAUUGGAGUUGGUUCUCUGCAAACAACGAGGGCUAGAAACUUGGUCCCUUUUUAAAAA